AGCUCAGUUGGUUCAGAGCACCUGCCUUACAAGCAGGGGGUCACUGGUUCGAAUCCAGUA
rnacentral:tRNA from 1 species